rnacentral:rRNA from 1 species
CAUGCAGGCGGUUAAACAAGUAGGAUGUGAAAUCCCCGGGCUCAACCCGGGAACUGCAUUCUAAACUGUUUAACUAGAGUAUUGCAGGGGGAGACGGAAUUCCAGGUGUAGCGGUGGAAUGCGUAGAUAUCUGGAAGAACACCAAAAGGCGAAGGCAGUCUCCUGGGCAAAUACUGACGCUCAGAUGCGAAAGCGUGGGUAGCAAACA